rnacentral:tRNA from 1 species
GGAGAGAUACCCAAGAGGCCGAAGGGGACGGUUUGCUAAACCGUUAGCACGGGGGUAACCCCGUGGCGUGGGUUCGAAUCCCACUCUCUCCGCCA